AAAGUUUUAGUUUAAUAUAAAACAAUCCUUUGUCAAAGGAUAAAAAUAAUAAUUAUAAACUUUU
rnacentral:tRNA from 1 species